rnacentral:rRNA from 1 species
UACGUAGGGGGCAAGCGUUGUCCGGAAUCAUUGGGCGUAAAGCGCGUGUAGGCGGCCCGAUAAGUCCGCUGUGAAAGUCCAGGGCUCAACCCUGGGAUGCCGGUGGAUACUGUCGGGCUCGAGUCCGGAAGAGGAGUGUGGAAUUCCUGGUGUAGCGGUGAAAUGCGCAGAUAUCGGGAGGAACACCGGUGGCGAAGGCGGUUCUCUGGGCCUUACCUGACGCUGAGGAGCGAAAGCGUGGGGAGCGAACAGG